UUGAGACCAGGAUGAGAGCAUAUCAGAAAAACAAACAAUAACAAGAAUAAAGCUGGAUUCUAUUAAAUUAUUAACAAGCAUCAUUUAGGACUCUUUGACUGCACUUAAGGGCUGAUGGCCACUGAUCAUUCCACACAGACUGUUAAUGAUCACAGUCCUGAUUCUUUCUUGUGACCCUAGGAGCAAAUCCUUUUCCUUGUCAUUUCUAGCCCCUAGAGAUUGUCUGCUUUCCUUGGCACAUGGUUCUCUUCCACCAUAUUUGAACCUAGAAAUUUCACCACUCCUACCUCUGCUUCUGUCAUCACGUCUUCCUCCUUCUCUCUUUUCUCUUCCCACUUUCUCGUAUCAGAGCCUUUGUGAUUGCACUAAUCCCACCCAGAUAGUCCAGGGUCAUCUCUCUAUUUCAUCAUCCUUAGUUUAAUAACAUCAGCAAAUUCCCUUUGUGCAUGUAAGGUCACACAGUCACAGGUUCUGGAGAUCAGAACAUAGACAUCUUUGGGGAGACAUGAUUCUGUCUGCCACAUCUGGUGUAUUCCAAACGUCAUUAGCCAUAAGAGAUUCAGAGUUCUCCAUAAACUUGGAAGCUUUUUUUUUUUUUUAAUUAAAGAGAAAUCAUUUCACAAAGUAGAAGACCAAUAUCAUUCCUGCAAAUAGUAAGGAUAUCCUGUCCUCUUUGUUUCUGACCCCAUAACAUGGGACCAGAGAUGUUAGAACUUUCCAAAAUACUCACAUUUGAAUAUAAUCAAGACUGUCUCCUUAUCUCAUAUUUGAGUUUCUUUAUGCAUUCUGCCUUAUUCUCUAUCUCCACAGAUGAGCUGUAUCACAUAGUAGAAAACAUGACAGCCAGAUUUUAAGGAAAUGAGUGGAUAAAUCUUGGCUCUCUGCAUCUCAAGUUAAAACCCCCAGGAAGACUCUCAUUAAUCUUGCUUCAGUAAGAUGGUUACAUAUAGACCAAUCAACUGUGAUCAGAAGGCAAGGUCAUGCAGAGUAAAGCAGCUUGGACACUAGCCCUCUGGAAGAAAGAGAGAUGGAGGGAGGGGUGCAAUUCCCUUGAGAUUGGUUACCAUACCUAAUACAAUAGUACAAUGUCUCAGCAAAGCUUCAAAAUUUCCAUUGAGUUACAAGAAUGUGAGGGCAUGAAUCAGAGUAAUGAUAACUCCCUCAGAAAGUGGAGACACUGUUACAGCAAUAAGAAAUCUACUAACAGGGGUUCCCAAACCUAGCAAUCAUGGAAACCAUUUAGAGAGCUUUUUAAAAAGAUUGAUUCCCAAGUCCCACCCAGAGUUACUACACUAGAAUGUCCAGAACAGAUAAAAGCACACACUCAAUUAGAAACCCAGUCAGCAAAACUGUUUCAUAUCUAGGCUGAGGCGGACAAUUUAUUAUAUAACAGGAAUCAUACUCCCUACCUGCUCUGAGUCCCUGGACACUGGUGUUAAUCCAAACCCUAUCCCUCACCCACUCUCUCACACCCUCUUCAAGGCUUCCACAGCUGUCCUAGGCUUGUGCCAGUAAGAUCAUAUGGCAAUAAGAUCACAUGGCCAGCAUUUUCAGAAAGCUGGUUCCUUCAAGCACUGCACUCAAGUCCUCCGCUUUGGCUGGCCUUGCUGGCUGACUCUAGCUUUAAUCUUAGGAAUAUGGAAAAUCGAUACCCAGUGGUCAAGGGAAAUAUUUCAUUUCUACCUAUUACCUCUAGAAUGUGUAUGGCUCUAAAAUAGCAAGGAAUGGAGGAAAAAUAAGGAGAGAAAAAUGGUAGAGAGUAAAAUGACAGGCUGGGAUGAAAGAAGAAUGUGCCAUGUCAAAGGGUAGGCAAUUUAUCCUCCAACUCAAAAGCUGGUGCCAAGAUCACCUGUACCAAAACUGACUCAAGUAGUGCUACUCAAAAUGCUUAUCUGUGAAUUAUCUGUUAUGGUCUCCAGAAAGAUAAUGGGCUAGCACCAAAAUGCAAAGCAACAAACUGCUUCCUUUAUCCAUAAAGUCUUGCUACCAAAAAAAAAAAAAAGGGUAAAGUAAGCAGUGUAAUUAGCACUAAAGUUUACAUGCAUUCUGUCACAAGCUCCUUGUCCCAUGAAAACCAGCAAGACUUAGUUCUCAGGUGACACUUCAAGCAUACUUAACCUAGGGUACUUGUUUAAAUAACAACAACAACAAUAAUAAUAUACUGAAUAUUUACUAUAUGCUUCAGUGUCAUGUAUAAAGAGAUAUUAUAAAUUUUAUUAGUAGUCUACUAAAAUUGAUAGUGAUAUACAUGAGGAAAGGAGCUAAGCUAAAAGUCUUCUUAGUAAACUUCAAAAUACAUAGUAGAGAGCUAUUGAUACAGCAAGUGAUACACUUACUUGAAUAGAAGUAAAAACAUAAGAGAAAUAAAGAAAAUGGAUUAGAAGGGGAUUAGAAAUAUAAAAGUAUAAGUCAUCUACCAGCAACACAAAAAACCAUGUAAGUAAAUAAUUUCCCUAAGAGAAUUAAGCCCAAUUUUCUUUUUUGAAUUAUUCAUCCACUAAUUCAUUUUAGUAUUUAUUCAUUCAAUUGAGAGUUUACUAAAAGCAUUAUUAGGGACAAGCAUGUUUCUUAUUCUCAUGGAACAUAAAUUAUUAUGGAAGAAACAAACAAUAAAUUAUUAAUUACUAGUAAGUAAGUUACAGUAUUACAAACUGCAAUGAGAACCAAAGAGGUGGAAGAAGCCAUAGAGCAUAUGAAGUCUGAGGGAGAGUAGAGAAGAUGUGGAGAACAGCCCAAGCAAAGACCCUGAGCUGAGCAAGGGUCGGGGACCUUUCCAAGAAGUGAGGCUAAUUUGACUUCUGCUUUUAAGCAGGUUGGAGGCCAAUAUGCUGUUAAAACAAAAAGAAAAGCCAGACAUAUUUUUAAGUGUAUCUAUUAAGGCGUAAAAGGCUAUAGAAGCAACAAGGACUAAAGGGGAUAACAUUUCAGAAAAGGGACUUUCAAGAGGUGAGCUGGUGAUUUGCCUCUGCCCCUGGGGACACAUGGAGUUCCCUGGUGGCUCAGAUGGUAAAGCGUCUGCCUACAAUGCAAGAGUACUGGAGUGCGGUGCCAUCGCCUUCUCCAUGCAAGCCACUAAAAAGGCCUAAAAUUAGAUUGAGGUGAUGGCUGCACAACUCUGUGCACUAAAACACUAAAAACUGAAAACACUAAAUUCCAUUGUACAUUUAACAUGGGUGAAUUUUAUAGCUUAAAAAAGCUGUUAAAUAAAAACCUGUCAAAAUCAGAGUUGAAGUGUCACACCAUCAGUUCAGUUCAGUUCAGUCACUCAGUGGUUGUCCGACUCUUUGCAACUGCAUGAAUCACAGCACGCCAGGCCUCCCUGUCCAUCACCAACUCCCGGAGUUCACCCAAACUCAUGUGCAUCAAGUCGGUGAUACCAUCCAGCCAUCUCAUCAUCUGUCAUCCCCUUCUCCUCCUGCCCCCAAUCCCUCCCAGCAUCAGAGUCUUUUCCAAUGAGUCAACUCUUCGCAUGAGGUAGCCAAAGUACUGGAGUUUCAGCUUUAGCAUCAGUCCUUCCAAAGAACACCCAGGACUGAUCUCCUUUAGAAUGGACUGGUUGGAUCUCCUUGAAGUCCAAGGGACUCACAAGAGUCUUCUCCAGCACCACAGUUCAUACCGUAUCUCUCCACUAAGGAGAUGCAAGUCCACAAGCCUCACUGGAAAAGUCCCAAAGGACCAAGUCCUAAGGACAAGCGUGACCUGGGGGUAAACCACAGUGCAACCUCAAUCGAGCUCAGCAAUGAGUGGAUUAAAGCCAUCAGUUCUGCCCUCUAUCUCCUUAACAAAGAAAAGAGAGAAAGUUCCCUGAUGAGUCGUAAUAUCAACUGGAACCUCUAAGUUUUUAAAAUAUAUAUACUGUCUGAUACUUAACUAAAAAUUACUAGACAGGAUCAUAUAAGGGUUAUACAAGGAAUAACCAAGAGGAAAAAUAGACAGUAAAUAUAGACUCUCAUGUGACCCAGACAUUGAAGUAAGGACAUGGGCACUUAAAUAAGUAUGAUUAUUAUAUUCAAGAAAAUAUUUUUAAAAUAGACAAAUAAGGCCAAUGUAGCUGGACCAUACAAGAGAAUGAAAUAUAAGAUUUAAGAUAUAAGCAGGGACUGCUCAUGCAGGCCCUUUUAGGCUAUGGUGGAAAGUCUUAAUUCUAUUCUGAGUUAUAGUUUUAAGUAAGAGAGUGAAAUAACUCAAUUUGCAUUUAAAAAAGAAGAAUCAAGGAAAUCAUCUAAGAAGCCAUAACUCUAACCCAGCUGAGAGAUGAUGGAGCUUGGACUGGUAUUGUUGUAUAAGAUAUGAAGAGAAGGAAAUAGAUUCAAGUUAUAUUUUGGAGGUAGACACUACAGGACUUGCUGGUGGUUUGAAUAUAAUUGGCCAGAGAAAUAAAGAUAGUAAAGAUCUCUCAGGUUUCUGACUUGAGCAAGAUGGGGUAGAAUGAUAAUAGAAUAGGUUAGGAAGCUGAGGGAAGUUGGGAAGCUUUCCUGAGACUACUAACUCGGUAGCAAAAGGACUAGAAUCCAAGUAUCCUGAUUUUACUCCAGUACUUUCUACCACACUAAGCUAACUUUUCUCCAGGAAUUAUUUUCAGUAGUAUGAUGUCUGUCUGUUUUACAUGGACGGAGAAAAAACAUUUUGUGUUAAGAAGUCCAGUUUCCAGGUAGUCAAAUAUCAGUUUUGAGGCUUUAAACAUGGGUGACAAAUGCCAGUGCUUUCAGAGGCAGGGCAUAAGAUGGGUAAAGAUCAGGGUUUUUGCUAAUAGAGAAUGGGGUGUGGGAUCUUUUGAUGAACCUGCAGCAUAUACACCAUCUACUGUCAUUCAAAUACAAUUUUUAAAAUAUUUUAAUUACUCUCCUGCCAAUUAAAACAUAUUUAUAAGCAGUUUACUAACUCCUGCUAAUUAGAUGCAAAUGUGUUUGGAAACACCUUUGCUUUUUGAACAUGAGCAAAAAGAUAGAAGAGCUCAGUGCAAGGACUCUACUCUCAUAUAGCCACUUAUUGGAAAUGGCAACAUGCUCCUAGAUGCCUGAAUGUUUUUAUGUAAAAUAGAAGUCUAAAGUUUAUUCCAUAAACAAAUAACUAAAAGAAUAAACCAAUCAUGAUAAUGUAUUGAGAUCCAGCAAUCAUGAUGCUUCUAAUCUUUUACAACAAAAAUUCAAAUAAAUUAACUGGAUUAUCUUGCCUGAUGCACUUAUUGUCUCCUUGAGAUAUGAUGCCAGGAAACUUCAACCUCAUCACUUAGGAACAGAAAACAGAAAGAGGGAGAAAAGCAUGUUUAUUACAUAGAAGCUGCCAGUGAUGUACUAACAUAAGGGAAUUCAAUAAAAAAGCAGUGGGGAAAAAUUGUGACAUAGAAAGCCCUAGUUUAUGUCUAUUUCAAGAAAUUUCUUAAAGUUUUAAGAAAAUGUUUAAUUUUUAUGUUUCAAUUUAGAAGGCAUUCAGCUGAAAUGUUUCUUGCCAGUUUUGUAAUUUCUAAAGUCAUUAAUAUAGAACCACAUUUGGCAGAAUAUCAGGGGAGUGUGUUUUUUGACAAAAUGCCUGAAUGUCUUUUACAUGCUUAUUUUCUGAAAAUGUAUUCAAUGAAAGGACAAAAAUUCAAUUCAUUAUAUAAUACACAAAGCAAAAUAAUUCAAUACCAAUGAACUAUCUUGAAGAUGUAAGACCCGCAGGAUUGUCACUAUCAAGUGAAUAUUUUAGAAUUUUUAUUUCACUUUGCAUCUGUUUUUUCAUAACAUGUUAUCUUUUAGGGGAAAGACAAUCUCUCAAGAUAUCUGUUGUGACUUGAUUAAUUUAUUUCCUUCCACUCCUUAAUAAAAUUGGGCUAUUUGAUCUAUUUCUUCUGCUAUUUUUCUAUAAACAAAAUAGUUUAUAUUUUAAAUAGCUUUAAUAUAACUAUAUAAACAUAGCUAUUUCCCUUCAUUGGCUUCCAAAAAUGUAUGAAUGCACAUCAAAAGUAGUGUUGUGCAUGUAGAAAAUCAAAUGCUGUCUUUAGAACAGUUUGUAUUUUUUAAAAAAGUAGGCUUUUAGGUGAUGACAAUCUUAAUGUGAGCCUACACUGCAAUAAUUGCUAGCAUUAUUUCUAUUACUGCCAUUGAUAAUAACAACAAUACUUAUUCUAGCAACUUUAGUGUAAACAUAUAACAGUGAUAAAAUAUCUGCAUAUGUUUUAAAACAUACAUAUGUAUUUGUGCUUAAAACAGUAUUAACCAGAUAUUCAUGAACCAGAAAGAGAAUUAUAUUGAAUUAAGACCCCAGACCUAUUGAAUUUCAGGGUGAUACCAGACCAAACAUCUACAUCAAUUUCUAGGUAGCUUGUUAGAAAACUGUAUAGUCACAUUGGUUUUUGUUUGUUUAUUUAGUUGCUAAGUCAUGUAUGACUUUUUUGUGACCCCAUGCACUGUGGCAGACCAGGCUCCUCUGUCCACGGGAUUUUCCAGGCAAGAAUAUGGCAGUGGGUUGCCAUUUCCUUCUCUAAGGGAUCUUCGCAAUCCAGAGAUCAAACCCGUAUCUCCUGCAUUGCCAGGCGAAUUCUUUUCCACUGAGCCAACAAGGAAGCUCACCUAAUGUCACAUACGUUUUAGACAACCAGGGUCAGUUUUGUGACAUAAAUUCAGAGAUGGGGCUUCUUGUCUUAACAAAGUCUUUUUUUUUUUUUAAGCCCAUUCUAUACGGAGAAAAUAGUAGCAUUUGAGACCACAAACUUGGGUCAAGCCAUUCUGUUGGCUUACAAAAUGUGUUUCUGAUAUUCUCCCAGCAUAAUAGACCCUUGAUAAAAUACCAAAAUCAAGUCUGGUUCCACAAUGAGAAACCAACAUAUCGGUUAACUUAACAAUACUAACACAGAGGUAAGUAUGUGGCAAGGGAAAAAGAAAACACAUACAAGGGCACACACACAUACAUCCUACCCAAAAUCAACUUGCAAAUAAAAAGUUUGAAAGCACCUAAGAAUAAUAAACAUCAUUAAGCUCAAAAAACAGAAAAAAAAAUAUUCUAAAAUAAUGGCAUAUAUUAAAACAGUCUUCCAAGGACUUUAAAAUCUCCAUAAAGAGGAGUGGAGUGAUGAGGAGAAUAAUAUUAAUACUAAAAUCAACAACAAAAUAAUAGCAGUUAAAAUGAAUUGAGUACUUCUGCCACUAUUCUCAAGUGGACUGAUUCAUUUACUAUAACAAAUCAAUGAGUAAAAUAAAGGAGAAAACUGCAAAUUUUUACCUGACUCCUAUUCAACAAAAUCAGUGCUUAACUUCUCAAUCUCUUAACUUUGGAGUCAGCAAACACCUCAAGAGAAAACAAAUGGUGCCGAAUGCUGAACAUUUAUCAUUGAGCUUCUACUUUCUCCCCUGAAUCUUGCUCUCAUCUCUAUAAUGCAAAAUCAAUCAUUAUGAAACAAAACCAGGAAGAUAGGAAUCAAGAGUAACUAGAGCAAGAGGAAAACAAAUCACAAAAAUGAAAAAUACAAUCACUGUAAUAGGAAAAGACAAAAUAAGGAUCUAACUGAUGAGAUAACUGGUGAAUUGGAGGAUUAUUCAUUUGUGCUCAGUCAUGUCUGACUCCUUGAGACCCCAUGGACUACAGCCCUCCAGGCUCCUCUGUCUAUGGAAUUUUCCAGGCAAGAAUACUGCCUACUCCAAGGGAUCUUCCUGACCCAGGAAUCAAAC
ensembl:lncRNA